rnacentral:rRNA from 1 species
CAGUCGCCGCGGUAAUACGUAGGUGGCAAGCGUUGUCCGGAAUUAUUGGGCGUAAAGGGCUCGCAGGCGGUUUCUUAAGUCUGAUGUGAAAGCCCCCGGCUCAACCGGGGAGGGUCAUUGGAGACUGGGAAACUUGAGUGCAGAAGAGGAGAGUGGAAUUCCACGUGUAGCGGUGAAAUGCGUAGAGAUGUGGAGGAACACCAGUGGCGAAGGCGACUCUCUGGUCUGUAACUGACGCUGAGGAGCGAAAGCGAGGGGAGCGAACAGGAUUAGAUACCCCGGUAGUCCCUGUCUCUUAUAC